rnacentral:lncRNA from 1 species
AGAGUAUUGCCUUCAAGGAUCUAUGUAUGUUCCCCGAUGUUCAUUUGCCACUUGGUUUCAAGACUUCCAAAUUUGAAAUGUAUGAUGGACAUGGAGACCCCAUAGCCCACCUGAAAAGGUAUUGCAAUAAACUGAGAGGUGCGGGAUGAAAUGAAGAAUUGCUGAUGGCUUGUUUUGGGGAAAGCCUUACGGGUGUAGCCUCCGAAUGGUUUGUGGGUCAAGACACAUCUUGCUGGUAUGCCUGUGAUGAUAUGGCACAUGCCUUUGUCAAACAGUUCCAAUAUAACAUCGACAUUGCUCCAGACGGCAAUUCCCUUUCAAACCUGAAGAAGAAACCAACUGAAAGUUUCAGGGAAUAUACCAUUAAAUGGAGAGAACAAGCAGCUAGAGUUAAGCCACCCCUGGAUGACCAUGAGCUAAUCACCGUCAUUCUUCAGGCUCAAGAGCCAGGUUAUUUUCGAAACAUGAUAUCCCUGUUGGUAAAUCCUUCUCGAAAGUAAUCAAAAUGGGGGAAAUGGUUGAGAAUGGUCUUAAGACAUGCAAAAUUAUAAGUCAAGUAGUUCUCAAAGCUGCAACUCAGGUUGACCAGAUUGAAUCAGAUAAUUUUGGUAAUUUUGGUGACCCGAAUGAGAAUGUUUAAAAAUCAGCUCCAACUCAGGCUGUCCAAAUUAAAUCGGGUAAUUUUAGUGGCACGAUUGAGAAGGUUGGAGAAAUCAUGAUGACAUAAAAGUCGAGCAGAGGUUCUAGAAGAACAUCUCGAAGGCAUGACUAACCUCAUUUGUUUUUUGACUAUUCCCCUGAGAACCCAAAAAUACUCUAUUGCUUCACCCCAGUAUGUUGUCGAGCCACUAAGAGACCCCAGAAGGCGAGUACCAGCUCCGCAAAAUCUCCACCAGCUUCCACAAAAUUUUCAAGUGCCACAUAAUCCACAUCCAAGCUAGGGAGACAGAGGUAAACAAAGGUUGAAAGAUAAUUUUACACCGAUAGGAGAGUCCUACGCAAGUUUGUUUGAGAAACUAAAGCAUUAUGACCUGAUUGCACCUAUUCCUCCGAAUCAUGUGGACAAGCGUGCAAGAAGCUUUGAACCUUCUAAAAGGUGUGAAUACCAUUCCAAUGCCCAAGGGCACAAUGUCGAAAGUUUUCGGGAUUUGAAAAGAGAGAUAGAAAGAAU